rnacentral:misc_RNA from 1 species
GGAAAGUUCAUUGCAUUUGUCUCAACAGAAGCCGAGACUGAUCAUCCGGAGAUUGAACUGAGGGCAGGGAUUGAUCUUCUUGGGCCAGUAGAUGAGCUGUUCUUCGAGACAUAUGACAGAUUCGAACCUGUAAACGAACCAUCACUGGAUAAUUGUUUCAUUUCAACUAGCUAUGAUGCUACAACACAUUUUGAGUCCACUGUCAUGGAUGUGCUUUCCAUGUAUAGGCAGAUUACUGGAAAGGAUGUGGAUCUUACCGUGGAUCUAAGUGCUGCUAGCGCUGCUGAAGAGUGAUUAGUGUUGCAACUCUCUCACCUGCCUUAAAAGAUUUUAAACUGGUGUAGCCAUGUGUUUCUAUGUUUCUUCGAUGUUUUCCGUUUGCAUCAACUUAUUUAAGAGCUGCUAUAUUGUGCCAUCCAGUCAUGUUAGUGCCCGAGAUCGUGC